rnacentral:rRNA from 1 species
AUGUCGAUCUCUAAUCUGUUGGGAAGAAAUUGGAGAGAGGAAAUAUUUAGGCCCAGAAUUGGUCCAACAAGCCGAGGAAAAUUAUGCAUUAUUUGUGAUCAUCUAAAGGCAGCACAGAGUCGACAAAAGACUCAAGCAGAUAAGAAGCACAGAGAAGCUGAGUUUAAGGCAGGAGAUUUUGUCUAUCUGAAAGUUUCUCUAAAGAAAGGGACGAGACAGUUUGGGCUACGUGGAAAAUUGAGUCCAAGAUCCGUCAGACCAUUUCAAAUAAUUAAUAAAGUUGGAGCUGUCACUUAUCAUUUAGAAUUACCCCCAAAUUUAUCCGGGAUACACAACGUGUUUCAUGUAUCCACUUUAAAAAAGUGUGAAUUUCCACGAAAAACAGUAGAAUUAUCACUCACGGAGCUCCAACCAGAUAUAUCCUAUGAAGAGCACCCGAUAAAGAUUUUGGAUGUCAAGGAUAGGGUAAUGAGAAAAAGGACCAUUUGGUUUGUAAAAGUCCAAUGGAGCAACCACACAGAAGAUGAGGCGACUUGGGAGAAGGAAGAUGAAUUGCGUGCAUGUUUUCCCCAUAUCAGUUUACGGGUAACUAAAUUUCAAGGACAAAAUUUCUAUUAG